AAUAUACUCCCUCCGUCCGGAACUACUUGUCAUAGAAAUGGAUGUAUCUAACGUAUUUUAGUUAUAGAUACAUCCAUUUCCGCGACAAGUAAUUUCAGACGGAGGGAGUAGUAC
rfam:Triticum aestivum genome assembly, contig: Triticum_aestivum_CS42_TGACv1_scaffold_306410_4AS